UCUGACAAAAGAGGAAAAUGGUUGUACGAAAUUGACCUCGUGUAAAGUUUCUUUUUUGAGGCUGACGUUACACCAAUGACUAAAACUGGAUUCGAACUACCUAUAAGGACAAAUAGAAUAUUGGGUUAACCUAGGCUUGAGCAUCACGCCGACUGCGCAUCUCGCAAGAUUGUCUGCCGACGAUGUCUUCGCUUUCAUAGUUGUCCGCUAGGAUUGCGCCGCAAAGUUUCUGCCGACGUCCUGAUGGGGGAUCAACGCUAGAAAUGGUUACCGAAAAAAGCUCUGUCCAUGUCGACGUGGAACAAAUUAAAUCUGCAUACAAUUGGAGUUUUACCUAAAAGAAUGCCCAUACAGAACAAUGCGUCUAUGAAAAGCAAUAAGGCUAUAGACUCACGACGAUCUUCGAUGACGACCCUCAGACAAACUUCGGUGGAAUUAAUUUCUUCUCAGAAGCGCUGGUUUCAACGACAGUUACUUCCUUGCGGAUCCUCUAUUUGCUAUUCGUUCGAAAUACAGUGGUUCUAGAAAUGGCAGAAGGUGUUGUUGAAGUUGCGGAUGCUGAGACCGUAAAUAAAGUCUUUGUUGAAAAGUAGUCCUGAUUAUUGAGAUGGCCGUGCUGCGUACCUCAACUGAAGCUGAUGAGAAUGCCGAGGCUGACUCGGACUCUGGCAUUUCAAAAACUGG
rnacentral:lncRNA from 1 species